GGGAGUUGAGCAGGGCCCUGAUCCACAGCUGCACCGCUGGGGCAGGGCCCCUGGAGCUCCAGGCAUGGAAGAAGGCCAACAAGCCAGGCAGCCCAGCUUCUUGAGGUGGAGGCUGCCAUAGGUCUGGAUACCUAGCAACCCAGAAGGGAACCAUCACUUUCUUCCAGGGACAACAUACAAAUGAGAAUGGAGAAGUGCCUAGGAAAGAGGAGGGAGAAACCCACCGGGCACACAGGAGCUCCAAGGAUAAGUGAGGGGUUGCCCCACUAGCUGGGCAGCACCACAGGUCAAUCACAGCCUUGGCACCAGGAAUGAUUAAUCUGGGUCCUGGGAGGAAAGGGCACAUUCAGGAGACAGACCCACCAUCUGGACUGAGGCCACCAGUUCCCUGUCCACACUCAUCAACCCUGCACAUCGAGCCAAGUGCUUAGCAGCUCAAUCAAAUUAACUGUGACACUUUCAAAAGCAUCAAAAUAGCUACAAGUCUCCCUAAAAAGAAGGCAGGCGCCUUGUUUUCAAGAAAAGAUACGAAGUCAUCACCCGGAGAUCAGGAAACAAAUAUUCAUUCUAUGCCGGUACAUCCCCCCGCCCCCCCCCCCUUUUCUUCCAUGCUCCCCUCUCCCCCUGGAAAAAAAAAAGGUUUAAAAAUAUCAGCACC